rnacentral:rRNA from 1 species
AGGACGAACGCUGGCGGCGUGCCUAACACAUGCAAGUCGAACGAGGUCCAUGCAGUGGCAACACUGCGGAAGACCUAGUGGCGAACGGGUGAGUAACACGUGAGGAACUUGCCCCGGAGACCGGGAUAACCCUCCGAAAGGAGAGCUAAUACCGGAUGUACUCACCGAGCCGCAUGGCUUGGUGAGGAAAUGGAUUCCGCUCCGGGAGAGCCUCGCGGCCUAUCAGCUAGUUGGUGGGUAACGCCCACUAAGGCGAUGACGGU